UGUGUGUGUGUGUGUAUGUGUUUAGUUUGAAACAAAGCCUUACAGACAGGUGCAAACAGUAAAUCCUCAUUUGCAACCUAUAAGUCAUUGGUAAACAUGAGAUUUUGGUAUAUGUAAGAAGAAAUAUU